rnacentral:lncRNA from 1 species
GAAUCAUAUGCGGCCAAACAUGCUACUCAAUUACUAAAAUCUUUGGGUUUCAAUAAGAUUGUUUUGGAAGGAGACUCACAAAAGGUCAUCAAAAUGCUGGACCGUUUGGAAUCUGACGAUUCAUCAUGUGGCUUGUUGAUUGAUGAUACCAUUGUCUUAUGUCAAGAUUUCAUGUGCUGGGAAGUUUCAUGGAUUUCUAGGUCGUUUAAUAUUCCUGCUCAUAACCUUGCUAAGUAUGCUGUUAAUCUUUCAGAUUCUUGUUUAUGGAGAGACUCUCCUCCUUCUUUUAUUUGUUCUACACUUGUUGCAGAUUCGAUCUCAUGAUUAAUAAAUUAUUCUAUUUUAUUAUCAAAAAAACAGGCCCUAAAUCAACGUGAGAACAUUUACCUAAAGAUGCCAUAUUGAAGUGAAACUAAUCUUUAUUGUCCAAAACUUGGGUAAACCUGAUUUUUAAAUAUCCAAUAGUCCAGAUUGUGACAUACCAGUUGGUGAGAUGACGUGGUAUAAAUAAAUUAUUGGAUUUUUGAAGACUGAAUAUACCCAAGUGUUAACCUUAUAUAUAAAUGAAUUUGAAUUUAUGCAAUAUGUAAAACAAGAGUCAGUAUAAACAAGGAAGACACUAAAUUCAUACCUCUCCAUCUUAAAUUCAUGCUUGGUACAAUCUCUAGUACUUAUGGCACAAGUUAUCGAUACUUAUAAUGCAAGUCUUUAAUGCAGCAGGAGUGUGGAUUUAAAUUGUUAGGGUGCCAAUCUAACAAAUUCCUUAAAAUAAAGUUCUACAUAACAUGCCUAUUGACCGAAUGGUAAUGAGCUCGAUUCUUCUCAAGUAAGGUUUGUGCUUGGUACGAUCUCUAAUACUUAUGGCGCAAGUCAUCGAUAUUUAUGAUACAAGUCUUUAACGCAGUAAGAGUGUGGAUUUAGGUUGAUAGGUACGAUCUCAGAUUCUCACCCUUUUGUCUAUCUUCUAGUUUUCUUUUUUCUAUUUGCAGUCGUUUUGAUUAUAGCUCCAUUAUCGCCUCUCUUUACAACAAGAGACGUACAAAUAUAGUGGGAAGAUGUGGAAAGUCUUGCUUUAUUAAUAAUUGUGGCGGCCUUUUUUUAUUUUUCUGUCAUUCAUCGAGUGAGUUGUCGAGCGGUCCUGCAUUCACGCAAUUGUCAAUUAAGUGGAACAAAUGGUGUUCUAAAUUCAUGCAAUUAUAGAACAAAUGGUGUAAAACAUUUAUAGGGUGUACUGUAUGGUUCUUUGUCAGAACUGCACUUGUAUGAAAGUGGCAAUCUUGUUGGAUACAAAUGUAUCUUUACUUAGACGGGAAGCAAUUCUGAUUUGAGUCGACUAGAGAAGCAAAGACAACACCUUUACAAAGAGUUCUCCCUUGGCUAAAUACUAGUACUAAUUGUAGUAGGCCCGCAGAAAAAUAAUCAAUAUAAGACUCGAGGGGUGAACCUUAACCAAGUUAUUUCUUGUUUAGAACCGUGUACAAAAAUUCAAGAACACAAAAAUGACUUACAAAGUCCUUUAUGCAGAUGCCACAAACGAUGAGAUAAAAGGCUUUGCUAAUAAGAAAAAUUACAAAUCCGGAGAAGCAAAUUGAAUUCCCAUACCAUUGUUUACAAAAUUCAAGGCAUUCGAAUUGGAGAAGCAAAAAAAUAAAAUUUGAAAAAAAAAAAUGUGUCAACCUGUUUAUAAAAGCUGUAGAAAUCUAAGCUGACAUCCAACGGGUGGGUACUUGGGAAAAGACUAUCCCAAGUAGCAGGAGAAUCUUCGUUAAUGCCAAAAUUUGUUUUACGUUUUCUUGCUCCAUUAGUAUUGUAGACUUUUAAAGAAAGCAAAGCACUACUAUCAAUCAAAAUUUGUUCUUGCAAUGAAACGAAUAUGCAUGGAAGGAAAGCCAUAAUUUGAGCUUUAUAGGUAAAUGACAAAUCCUAUAAGAAACAAAAAUAAUCAAUCAAGAAUUCAAGGAGAAAUACAAAUAAAGGCACCGGCAAAGAUUCUUUCAAGAAACACCUUAUCAAUGCAACUAGAAAUAGUUCUUUAACGAUGUUAAGAUCAACACUGGCCUGUAUGUUACUCCAUUCCACUUUUGCAGGCGUGCCACAAUGAGAAAUGACUAGAAAGUAAGCCUUUAGCCACAGAUUAAUACCCAUAGGAAAGAGGAGAAGUGUUGAGGUAAUAAGAUAAAAGAACUGCAGGGAUAUGAUGAAAAUUUGUAACAGGAGGGAAAGGAAGAAUGCAGCUGUACAUACACACGGGAGGGUAGGAUUAGACAGAACACUUUCUAUUACUACUAACCAUACUAGCACAGGAGCUGCGUUAGUCAAUCAUUCUUCUCCAAUUACUUCCGUUUUAUUGAUCUUAGGCUUAGCUGAUCCUGUUUUAUCUAGCAACACUAUUUCCUUUCCACUCUUUAGCAGGACAAUCCUAUCUCCAGUGAACAACAAAAGGUAAUUAUUUGAAACCCAGUCCGCGCCUAACACCAUGUCACAUGCUCUUAUUUCCACGAUUCUCAUAUCAGUUACGAACUCAUGACCUUGCACGGUCCACCUGAGGCUUGGACAUCUGAAUCUGCUGACUGCUCGGUAUCCACCAAAUACAAAAUUCACAAGCAGCGGUGUAGUCUCCUCCAUCUCAAGCCCUGCCUGAAUUGCUACAUCAGCGUCGAUGAAGCUACAAGAAACGCCAGUAGAUAAUAUAACUGUUGUGUCCCUUUCUCCUACUAAAACUUUAAACAUAGAACCGUGGCCAUGAUUAAUGAAAUCAUCAACUAAUUCACAAGGCAAGUUUUGCUCCCAAUUGGUCCUCAUUUCUGAAGAGAAUGACUUCUGUUUCAUCACUUCAAUUGCUAUUUCCUGGAUGCGUGCAAGGUUGAAAGCAUGAAUAAGGGUCUCUGGUUUUGGCUUGCGGAUUACACGUCUAAUUUCUUCCUUGAGUCCACUCAGGAAACUGGAAAUGAAAUAAUCUUCUGUAAGCCCAUAAUCCAUUGUCAUCAACAAGUCUCUCAACUCAGCAAAUUUCUCUUGAUACUCCGCGACAGAGCCCGUCUGUUUCAGAUUAUGAAAUUCUCCAAUGAUGUCUCGCCCCAGUUCUAAGUUAUCAGACACUUCUCGAGUUGAUAUGCCACAAGCAUCCAUCUUCUUCCCCUUGUUCAUUAGACCCUUCAUACCACAUGAUAUUUCUUCAAGUUGCAUAGACAUAUUUUUGACAACCCCAAGGAUACUGUCGAACCUAUUGGUGAGAGCUUCAAUGUUGGCAUCAUCUUGUUGCAUUGAGGCAACGUCUGUUUCAGAAUCUUCAUCAGUUACUACUGCAAACCCUAUAUGAUGAGCUUCAUUUGUUACGGUUUCAUGCCUCUUGUUUCUCGCCCCUUUACCCAUGGAGUAUUGGCAAUCUGCGGCAGAUAGAGAGCAAAAAAGAGAUAAGAACAAAACAAAAGGAAACUAUGAUUAAAGAGAGAAGUGAAGAAAGGACAAUUCGCUGAGUAAUCUACAUGCACAAAUCUCAAACUCCAAAUGCAACCUACAACUAAUCAAAGGCUCUUGCAACAUUAGACAAGCAAAAAUCAGGAGUUCAUAACAAAUAAAGGUUCUAUUCAAUCAGUCCCGGGCCAAUUAAUCAACUCUUUAGCUCUAAGAUAAGCUGCCUUUGCUUGGAAAAAAAAAAAAAGACAAGCUGCUUUCCAUAAAAUCAUUUUCCCUUAAUUUUUUUUUACUCCGAUUUCUUACCUGUUUGUAACGAAACAUCCAAAACCCAACACAAAAGAACCUUGUGCGUGCUAUAUUUACUUCAUCCCUUUAUAAGAAGAGACACGUGAUACUCCCUGUAUAAGAAUAAUAACUAAUCGUUCUCAACAGCUUGCCCACUGCUAAAUUGUCACUAAACAAAAAUCAACUUCAAGGGGCUUGGCUUCGUCCUAUAUGAGAGAAUCAUAUGGCUCAAAAUGCACAACGAGGGCAUUAUUCAACAUUCGUUACAAAAAUUUAAAAAAACCCUCCUUUAGUGUCUUACUCUAAUGAAACACUGCAAGAGAACACGAUCUCAUGAAACACUGCUACCACAAGAACAUCAGACUAAUCAGACAAAUACUCGAUCCCUGACCCAAAGACGCGAAUACACAAAAUCAUACUUACCAGUCAGCAGUCACGUAAUACACCAUGACAACUAGAAGGAAAAGCAACAAAAAUCCAGACUCCAGAUGAUGAAUAAGGAAAUCAAACUACAAGUAUGCAAUUGCCAAACAAACAUCUAUCUGAAACAUUUAAUCCAACAGACUGCACAGAUUUCAAAAUGGGUCUGCCAGAAAUGCCAACCUCAAAUGAUAUCAUUUCCAGAUGUCUCAAAAAGGUCAGGAUCGCAUGAUAAAACUGAUAUAGGAAAUCAUUAGGAAUUGAAAAGUACCAGAGACCAGGGAAAGGGAAACGUACCGGAAUUCUUGGCCGGAGAGUUACGGAAGGAAACUGAGAGUUAUUUGAUUUGAGAUGCUAUGCAAAUUUGCUGUGAUCCUUUCCUUGCCUAAUGCCUACUUUAUAUACAACUCAAUUUUAAAAAUAAUUAUUAUAGUGACAUGAUGUAUAUGAGAUAUAAAAAAAUAAGUGUGUUGGAGAAUGAAAUGAAACAAAAAUUCAAAUGAGAUGACAUUCACAUUGAAAUUGAAAACUGAAGACUUAUUUCAAAUAAUUAUUUGGAAUACUUACUGUAGCAUUUUUUGUGAUAUGAUGUAUAUGAGAUAAAAAGGUGAUUAAGAAUAUAAAAAGAUGGAUUGAAAAAUAUGUUUAUGAAAAAUUUGCUAUCCACGUCUGUAACGAACUUUCCCUCCAAAGUUAUGAGUGGGAGUAGAAUGAGUAGGAGUGCAGAAAGUAUCUUGGGAUAAGUAGGGCGUAAAAUCGGAAUUUGGGGUAGAAAAAUGGAAAAUAUUAGCUAAACCAUGUAUGCCGCGUGAAAACACGCACACUAAUAUUGGAUCAAGAUUCAAGAGUCGCCAAAUAAUGCGGUGGAUUAUCCUUGUUUAGAAAUAGGGAUAAUUGCAAAAACCUCCCCUGAGGUUUCUGAGUUAUGCAAUUAUCCCUUAGAAAUACUAAACAAUACCAUACUAGUAUUAUUUGGCAUUAAGUAAUUAGUACUAGUGCACAAUAUGGCAUGCCAUUGUUACGUGCGUGAUGGACUUAAUACCUUCUCCUUCUCAUGGAGGUGGCUGCAGAAUAUAUGUAAUAGAUUGCAAUUGUAAUUCAUGGGUGUAUUUGGAUAUACAAUUUAUUUUAAAUAUUAUUUUACUUAUAUUAUAAACACAUUUUAACAACAUUUUUAUAAUUUUAAUUAAUUUUUUAUUUCACAUAUAUCAUAUUACAAAAGUGUUAUAGUUGUUAUUUGAAAUAAUCUCAUAUUCAAACCCUCCAAUUGUAAUGUGGGUGAAAAAAAUAUUAAGAAUAAUUUUAGAAACCUCCCUUGACAUUUUGGAUAAUUUCAUUGAGCUCUCUCGAAAUUUCAAAAAUUACACUUACCUUCCUUGUUCACCUAAAAUGACAAUACUAGUAUUAACAUUUUAAUAAAGCUCCCUUUUUGAAUAUGCAUAUAUUAAGAAUGGAAUUUAUAAUUAUUUUUCCCUUUUCCUUUUCUCUCUUUAUUCCUCCUUUUUUAUAUUUUUGCCAAUAAAAUUAUUGAACUAUAAACAUUGACCCUAAAUGUUAAACUAAUGACAUUUUUCGAGAACUUUUAAUGUGGUCCAAUUUUUAUUUGUUAAUCUUUUUUUUUUUUUUGUAUCAAAAGAAACGCUAACUAAGAGUCCCAAAACUACCAUUAAACUAUGACAGUUUCACUUAUUCAAAAAUCAACAAAUUCUAAAAGCAUUAUGAUGAUAGUUUCUUCUCCAUUUUAGAAAAAUAUGGAUCCCCUAUAAAGCACCAUUAAAAGUAGUUUAUCAUAAUUGAUAGACAAUUGCUUAUCAAAUAAUAAAUUUGGUAUUGAAAACUUGACAAUUUUUUUCUUUUACUUGUUCUAAAUAUAUUAUUAUUGCUAUAGAAAGUAAUUGAAAUUUACAAGGUGAGGGUUUUUCGGGAUAUUCCUUUAAAUUUUAGACCAAGUCCAAGGUUUGGCCGUCAAAGUGUCGAAUUAGAGGAGGUAGGUGUAAUUUUUGAAAUCUCAAGAGAGCUCAAUAUAAUUGUCAAAUACCUUGAGGGAGGUUUAUGAAAUUAUCCCAAAACAUUAUUGUUUACAAUGAAAACUUAAUAUCAAAUGUCUGAGAUUUAUGUGGGGUUAUACAGACAUUGCAUUUUUUAACUUGUUCCGUUGCCCGAAUGCUAGAUUUUAAAAAUCAAGAAUAAUUAUCGGCAGCAACUGUUCUUGCCUUUGGUAGGUAAGAAGGGUCCCAAACUUUUGUUUUAGUGGCCAAAUUUGGUCUAAAAGUUGAUGUGAACCAUAUAGUACUCUUUUGUCCAAAAAAAAAAAAAACACUACAUAGUACUCUUUACAAGGUCACAAGACUUUGUUUGUGAUACAUUGAACGUGCUGAAAAGGUCACAUUGAACAAUUGACAAUUGAUUUUACUCAUGCCCCAUGAAGAUAAGGGGAGAUGCACUAAAUCAGCGUGAUAACAUUUCCCAGAAAUCAUAAAAAUGCCAAGAUGAAGUGAAACUAAUUUUUAUAAACGAAUUUGAAUUUAUGCAAUAUGUAAAAUAAGAGUUAAUAUGAAUCAGAAAGGGGUUAAAUCCGCACCUCUCCAUCUUAAAUUCAUGCUUGGUACAAUUUUUAAUAUUUAUGGUGCAGGUUAUUAAUACUUAUGAUACAAAUCUCUAAUGCAUGAGUAGCGUGAAUUUAGAUUGUCAGGGUGUCAAUCGUGCAUGUUGCUUAAAAUAAAGUUUUUACAUAACAUGCCUAUUUAUAUGAAUGAUAAGCAACUCGAUUCUUCUUAAGUAAGGUCUUGAAUUCGAAUCUUGCAAAUAAAGGAAUAGGCGCUGGGAAAGUUUACCCCCUUAUGAGAUCAAAUCGGGCUCGAUUCUAGAUUAGUUGGGAUCCAAAGUGGCUACUAGAUACCGGGGACUAAUAUAGCUAGCUAGCAACUGAAGGGAUCUUUUAGUUGUAAAGGCUAAAUAAGGGAUUUAGUUGUAAAACUAAGGAAUCUUUAUAGAGGAGGUUCUAGGAAUGGUAUCGAAUUGCUAAUUAGACCUUUUAUUUCCUCUCAGAUUCUCACCCUUUUGUCUAUCUUUCAAAAUUUUUCCCCUUGUUUUUUUGCAGUUGUUUUGAUUAUGGCUCCAUUUUUGCCUCCCUUUACAAUCACAACAAGAAAUAUGCUACUAAUUAAUAUGGAGGGACGAUGUGGAAAGUCUUGCUUUAAUGGCUGUGCCUUUUGCUUUCCCCCUUUCUUCUGUCAUUGAUGUAGUUAUCAAUUGGUACUACGGUCCUACAUUCAUGCAAUUGUCAAGUGGAACAAUGGUUAGUAAAUUCAUUCAAUUAUAUGCCAAGUGUAAAACAUUUAUAGGGUGUUUGGUUCUUUAUAAGAAUUACAAUUGUACGAAAAUUGCAAUCUUGCUUGAUACAAAUGUAUCUUUACUUGACUGGAUGCAAUCCUGAUUUUGAUUCAGUUCGAGUAAGCAAAGAAAACCUUAACAAAGUGAUGGUGAAUUAUCAAAGAUACAAGAUAUGGAUCAUAAUUUGACAGUAAUUUUUGGUUGCCAAUUUUUUAUGGUUCGGUUGAUAUACUUUGCAGAAGCAUGUACAAAUCUGAACAGAUUUUCUAAUUUUGUCAUCAGGUUAAUUAAUGUGCUUCAGAAAUAUACUUCUUGUUUGGGUACAAAAUUCAAAAACACAAAAUUGUGCAGAGAUCUUUCUUUCCGGAGAUUGGACAUCAAAUAAGAGCACAAAGGUCACGGAGAAUUACUGAAUUACUUGAUAGGAGUAUGUAUUCUUUUUCACUUUCAGAGUCUUAAACUCUUUCUCACAAAGAAAUCACAAAUGGACAAUGAAUAAAAAUUCCAAAAAAAAGAGCUUCGUACUUGUAACUUUAUAUCACUGACACUGAUCUAGUAUGGCUUCAGAAGAAUAUAAAACAAUGUUAGAAAAGCUUGUGAUAGCCUAAAUAUUUCCAACUCCUAAACUCCACUUCGCAAUUCAUAGUCAGAUUCGUCUUCAGGAUAAGCGGAUUACAAUUCAUAGUUAGAUUCAUCUUCUGGAUCAGCAGAGCUUCCAGCACUGCUUUCAUUUGCCUUCCUUAUGAUAGGAUUGAAUGCAGCUUCUAACCCUGCCAUCUUCUCAUCAUAGUCUAACUUCUCUACAUUUUGGUUGUCAUCCAACCAUUCAAGUGCAUCCUUCAGGGCUGUCUCAAUGCUCUCUUUGUCAUCAGAAUCAAUUUUGCCCGCGAGCUUCUCAUCAUCCCUGAUGGAGCUCUUCGUGUUGUAAAUGUAGCUCUCGAGUUUGUUUCUAGAAUCAAUCUUCUCUCUCUGCUCCUUGUCGUCACCUGCAAACUCUUCUGCCUCCUUUACCAUCCUAUCAAUUUCCUCCGCCGUUAGACGCCCUUUCUCGUUCGUGAUGGUAAUUGAGUUCGACUUCUUUGCUGCCUUGUCCAUGGCAGUCACCUGUAAGAUACCAUUCGCGUCCACCCCAAAUGUGACCUCAAUUUGGGGCACGCCCCUACAACCACAUGAUAAGCAUUGUUUAGGAAGUUCAUCUUAAAGGUUGAAGAAGAAUUAAUUGAUUGUCUUAGAGAUUGUGUUACCUAGGAGCAGGAGGAAUACCAGACAAGUCGAAUUUUCCUAGCUCGUGACAAUCUUUCGUUAGGCUCCUUCCACCUUGAUAAACCUACAAGUUUCCAGCAAGAAAUUGGGUUUUGUACUAGUGCCAGUUAAAAGAGGAUUAAAGAUCUCUUCCCACUAACAAUGUAACAAAGUUAUCAGCAUGUGAUCAUACCUUGAUUGAAACUGUAGUUUGCUGGUCUUGAUAAGUUGUGAAGACCUGAGACUUCUUGAUUGGGAUGCCACUGUUUCUUGGAAUCAAUUUUCUCAUAACUCCACCAACGGUCUCGAGCCCCAGACUCAAGGGAGUUACAUCAAUGACAAGUACAUCUGUCCUCGUUUUUGUAGGUAACAACGGUCCCAAACUUUUAUAAUGGCCAAAUUUGGUCUAAAAUUUGUCGUGAACUAUAUUAGUACUUUGACGUGAACUAUAUUAGUACUCGUUACGAUGUCGUAAGACUUUAUCAUACACAUUGAACAUUCACCAACAGGGGUUGGUCCGAGUGGUAAGCGGCUCGGAUUCGCUUAAGCAGGUCUCGUGUUUGAGUUCUAGUGUACGCAGACACCCCUGUUGGGAGACUCACCCACUAUAGCCAGGUGCGCGACGCGGGUCGGGUCCGAAUUAGUUGGGGUAAAAGCUUCGGAUACCGGGCGGGCAACCAAAAAAAAAAAUACACAUUGAACAUUUUGAAAAUGUCAUCUUGAACAAUUUGACAAUUUAUUUUACCUAUGCUCCAUGAAAAUCAGGGUAGAUUUACUAAAUCAAUGUGAGAACAUUUCCCAGAAACCCUAAGGAUGUCAUAUUGAAGUGAAACUAAUCUUUAUUUCCAAAAUUUGGGUAGACUUGAUUUUCAAAUAUCCAAUCAUCCAGAUUGUGGCACACUAGUUGGUGAGAUGAUGUGGCAUAAUAUGAAUUAUUGGAUUUUUGAAAACCAAAACUAACCCAGUGUUAACGUUAUAUAUAAAUGAAUUUGAAUUUAUGUAAUAUUUAAAACAAGAGUCAAUACAAAACAAGGGAGACACUAAAUUUAUACCUCUUCGUCUUAAAUUCAAUCUUGGUACAAUCUCUAAUACUUAUGGCGCAAGUUAUCGAAACUUAUGGUACAAGUUUUUAAUGCAAUAGGAGUGUGGGUUUAAGUUGUUAAGGUGUCAAUCUAACAUGUUCCUUAAAAUAAAAUUUUACAUGACACGCCCAUUGACCGAAUGGUAACGAACUCGAUUCUUCUCAAAUAAGGUCUUAAAUUCGAAUUUUGUAAAUAAAGAGAUAGGCAUUGGGAGAGGUUGCCGUCUCAUGGAGUUUGACCCGACUUGACUGUGGACAAGUCGAGUCCAAUGUGGCUAGCAAUUACCGGGGGUUAAUAGAGUUAGCUAGCAUUUAGACCUUUAUUGCAUAGAGGUAACUGAAGGGAUCUUUUAGUUGCAGUGGCUAAAUAAGGGACUUAGUUGUACAAUUUUCUUAGGAAUCUUUGGAGAGGAGGUCCUAGGAAUGGUAUCAAAUUGCUAACGAGAACUUCUGUUUCUUUCCUCUCAUAUUCUCACCCUUUUCUCCAUCUUCUAGGCUUGCUCUUUUUUUUUUUUUUUUUUUUUUUGCAAUGAUAACAAUUGUAUAAUCUAAUUUAUCCUAAUUUAGAGGGGAGGGGGAGUCUAAGAAGGCUUGCGUAUUAAGUAGGACUGUGCAUCGAAAUCGAAUUCGGUAAAUCGAAAGUUUGAAAUCGAAAUUUUUCGAAAUUUUGGUCUAAUUUUUCCCGACCGAAUUCGAUUUCGAAAUGGCAAGUUCCGAUUUCGAAUUCACACCGAAUUGAAUUCGGAAUUCGGUGGCUUCCGAAUUCACCAAAUUCAAACCUGUGCAUAUUUCUUUUUCUUCUCAGGCAGAACAAAACAAAAACGAUGCCUGCAGAAACUAAAAUCUACUAGUACCAUAUUAUACGUACGUGUCCUUAACUUCCCAUUCAUUCAGGGUCGUCAACUUCAUACAGCUGAGAACCCAUGUCCUAAUUUUGUUAAUAGCUCAUUGCCCCUUCCGCCUCCAUUUCUGCACAAGCUGCCACCAUGCUCUCCAUUUCCCCUAUACAGCCCACCUCCUCUCAAUCCACAGCCCAUUCCACCCUCCUCCGUCAGCUUCCCCUCUCCCGUUCCCACCAUUUGCAUCACCGCCGCAGCAGAUUUUGUUUCCAUUUACUCCAGCUCUCCCGCCGCCGCCACCCCUCGGCCCUUCUCAUCUGUGCCCUCGACGCAGCUCAACCUUACGAUUACGAAACCCGACUCUCCCGCCGCUUCUCUCAGUCCACAGCGCUCAAGAUUGCCAUCAUUGGGUUCGGUGGAGAGGGAGGAAGGAAGGUGAGAGAGAGACGAGGAAGAGGCGGCAGAACACAGAUUAGGAUUUUUGCAAUUUCAAUUGUUAGAUGUUAGGUUAGUAUUAUUGUUAUUACUUAUUAUUUAUUAACUAUUUAACCUAUUAUGUUAUAUAAUAUGUAUUAUAUAUAUUAUUAUAUUAUAUAUAAAUAUUAUUAUUCGAAUUCGAAAUAAAAGUUUCGAUUUCGAAUUCCGAUUUCGAAUUGGGAAUUCGAAAUCGGUAAUUUCGAUUUCAAAAACUAUAAUUUCGAAUUCGAUCCGAUUUCGACUAAUUCGAAAUCGGAAUUACCGAAUUCCAUUCCGAAUUACCGAAAUUCCGAUUUCGAAUUUCCGAAUUUAAUUCGAAUUCGAUAUCGAAAUCGGAAUUUUUCGACUUUGCACACCCCUAGUAUUAAGGGUUAGGAGGUGUGCAGAUCCGACUAAAUUAAGUGAGUGCUGCAGGUGAGAUUGGCCGCUGAGCCAAACAGUGGUUUUUUUUUUCCCCCUUUUCCUUUUGCAGUUGUUUUGAUUAUAGCUCCAUUUUCGCCUCCCUUUACACAAGACUCAAGAGACGUACAAAUAUAGCGGGGUGAUGUGGAAAGUCUUGCUUAUUAAUAAUUGUGCCUUUUAAUAAAUUCAUGCAAUUAUAUACCAAGUGUAAAACAUUUGUCAGAACUGCAGUUGUAUGACAGUGGCAAGGCAAUCUUGUUGGAAACAAAUGUAUCUUUACUUAGACUGGAUGCAAUUCUGAUUUGAGUCAACUAGAGAAGCAAAGACAACCUUUACAAAGAGUUCUCCCUUUACAAAAUACUAGUGCUAAUGAACAGCGGUUUGCCCUUCCUAUCCCAGCGCAGCAUAACUGACAAAAAUGGUAGGAAGAAUGCAGCUGUACAUAAACACCGGAGAGUAGGAUUAUCACAAAGUAAUACUUGUCUGUCAUCAAACCUCCUCAAUCUCUAUUAAACCAAAAAAAAAAAAAGAAAAAAGGAUUAAACAGAACAUUUUCUAUUACUACUAACCAUUUGUUUAGCACAGGUGCUGCGUUAGUCAAUCAUUCUUCUCCAAUUACUUCCCUUUGUUCAUCUUAGGCUUAGCUGAUCCUGUUUUAUCUAGCAACACUAUUUCCUUUCCACCCUUCAGCAGGACAAUCCUAUCUGCAGUGAACGUCAAAGGGUAAUUAUUUGAGACCCAGUCCCCGCCUAACACCAUGUCACAUGCUCUUAUUUCCACGAUUCUCAUAUCAGUUACGAACUCAUGACCUUGCACGGUCCACCUGAAGCUUGGACAUCUGAAUCUGCUGACUGCUUGGUAUAGACCAAAUACAAAAUUCACAAGCAGCGGUGUGGUCUCCUCCAUCUCAAACCCUGCCUGAAUUGCUACAUCAGUGUCGAUGAAGCUAUAAGGAACGCCAGUAGAUAUGAUAACUGUUGUGUCCCUUUCUCCUACUGAAACUUUAAACUUGGCAGGGUGGCCUUGAUCAAUGAAAACAUCAACUGAUUCACAAGGCAAGAUUUGCUCUCGAUUAGUCCUCAUUUCUGAAGAGAUUAACUUCACUUUCAUCACUUCAAUUGCUAUUUCCUGGAUGCGUGCAAGGUUGAAAGCAUGAAUAAGGGUCUCUGGUUUUGGCUUGCAGAUUACGUGUCUUAUUUCUUCCUUGAGUCCACUCAGGAAACUGGAAAUGAAAUAAUCUUCUGUAAGCCCGUAAUUCAUUGUCAUCAACAAGUCUCUCAACUCAGCAAAUUUCUCUUGAUACUCCGCGACAGAGCCCGUCUGUUUCAGAUUAUGAAAUUCUCCAAUGAUGUCUCGCCCCAGUUCUAAGUUAUCAGACACUUCUCGAGUUGAUAUGCCACAAGCAUCCAUCUUCUUCCCCUUGUUCAUUAGACCCUUCAUGCCACAUGAUAUUUCUUCAAGUUGCAUGGACAUAUUUUUGACGACCCCAAGGAUACUGUCGAACCUAUUGGUGAGAGCUUCAAUUUUGGCAUCAACUUGCUGAAUUGAGGCAACCUCUGUUUCAGAAUCUUUGUCAGUUACUACUGCAAACCCCAUGCGAUGAGCCUCAUUUGUUACGGUUUCAUGCCUCUUGUUUCUCGCCCCUUUACCCAUGGAGUAUUGGCAAUCUGCGGCAGAUAGAGAGCAAAAAAGAGAUAAGAACAAAACAAAAGGAAACUAUGAUUAAAGAGAGAAGUGAAGAAAGGACAAUUCGCUGAGUAAUCUACAUACACAAAUCUCAAACUCCAGAUGCAACCUACAACUAAUCAAAGGCUCUUGCAAAAUUAGACAAACAAAAAUCAGGAGCUCAUAACAAAUCAAGGUUCUAUUCAAUCAGUCUCCGGCCAAUUAAUCAACUCUUUAGCUCUAAGAUAAGAUGCCUUUGCUCGGAAAAAAAAAAAAAAAGAUAAGCUGCUUUCCAUAAAAUCUUUUUCCCUUAAUUUACUCCUAUUUCUUACCUGUUUGUAACGAAACAUCCAAAACCCAACACAAAAGAAUCUGUUGGGAAAGGAGUACCGGUACAGGCACACAAUAUUAGAGUUAACCCAGGAUAAAUGUCUCUUUUCCUAAGUACCAGUUAAAACAGGAAUAAACCAAAUCACCAAGUAUUAAUACUAGCAGUGCAGUGAUAAUAAAAUGCAAGAAAAAUAAAAGACACGUGACACCAAACUUUUUACGUGAAAAACUCAAAUUGGAAAAAAUCACGGGACCUAGUCCAGUCAAAAAUCUCCAUUAUCACAAUAAUGGGAAUACACAGAUCUAUCCGAAAAAUUCGAAUGUCAAUAAUAUCACCAAAAUCAACUAAGCAAAUCUGCUAUAAAAUCACCCUCAAAAACUACAACUGUCAAAGAAAUGGGUUUAGAAAGAUGUUACCAAACGAAAAGAAAAUUCGAAAUCUGAAUCAAAAGAUGAGUAGAACUUGACGAGAGGAUCGCGUGUGUGAAGUUUCGUCUCAAUCGGACUUCAAAUCACCUUCCAACCAAGGCCUUGAAGUUAUUUCUCUCUCUCUCUCUGCUAUUUCUCUCUUCGUCGUUCUUCACCAAAAUAAAAGAGUGGCGGCUGACCUUUUUCUAACUUUCUAAAAAGGAAGAAAGCUCCCGCGGCCGCUGCUGCUUGUGUUUAUGCUUGAGAAACCCUCAAGCUUUGUUCACUUGCACAAAUGGACUGGCGCACACACAAGUCCAACAGAACCCUAUGCGUUGCUAUAUUUACUUCAUCACUUUAUAAGAAGGGACACAUGAUACUCCCCGCAUAAGAAUAAUAACUAAUCGUUCUCAACAGCUUGCCCACCACUAAAUUGUCACUAAACAAAAUCAACUUCAAGGGGCUUGGCUACUUCCUAUAUGAGAGAAUCAUAUGGCUCAAAAUGCACAACGAGGGCAGUAUUCAACAUUCGUUACAAAAAUUUUACAAAACCCUCCUUUAUUGUUUUACUCAAAUGAAACACUGCAACCGCAAUAAUUUUUUAGCAUCAGAGAACACGAUCUCAUGAAACACUGCUACCACAAGAACAUCAGAGUACAUGAUCUAAUCAGACAAAUACUCGAUCCCUGACCCAAAGAGGCGAAUACACAAAAUCAUACUUAACAGUCAGAAGUCAUGUAACACACCAUGACAACUAAAACGAAAAGCAACCAAAAAAAUUAAAACAAGAAUCCAGAUUCAGAUGAUGAAUAAGGAAAUCAAACCACAAGUAUGCAAUUGCCAAACAAACAUCCAACAGACUGCACAGAUUUCAAAAUGGGUCUGCCAGAAAUGCCUACCUCAAAUGAUAUCAUUUCCAGAUGUCUCAAAAAGGUCAGGAUCACAUGAUAAAACUGAUAUGGGAAAUCGCUAGGAAUUGAAAAGUACCAGAGACCAGGAAAAAGGAAACGUACCGGAACUCUUGGCCGGAGAGAUACGGAAGGAAACUGAGAGUUAUUUGAUUUGAGAUGCUAUGCAAGUUUGCUGUGAUCCUUUCCUUGCCUAAUGCCUACUUUAUAUACAACUCAAUUUUAAAAAAUAAUUAUUAUAGUACUUUUAUGACGUGACGUAUAUGAGAUAUAACGAAGAUAAGUGUGUCGGAGAAUGAAAUGAAACAAAAAUUCAAAUGAGAUGACAUUGAAAUUGAAAUCUGAAAAAAAAUCACUGUAACGAACUUUCCCUCCAAAGUUAUGAGUGGGACUAGAAUGAGUAGGAGUGCAGAAAGUAUCUUGGGAUAAGUAGGGCGUAAAAUCGGAUUUUGGGGUAGAAUAUUGGCUAAACCAUGUAUGCCGCGUGAUAACACACUAAUAUUGGAUCAAGAUUCAAUAUGACAGACGUUGCACUUUUUAAACUUGUUCCGUAGCCCGAAUGCUAGAUUUUAAAAAUCAAGAAUAAUUAUCACUAGCAACUGUCCUUGCUGGGUAGUUAAGUCCUCAGAUUUACCUCAAGAGUUGUCGGCUUUUGGGGUUAAAUUUGAGAUUAGGUUGAAUUAACUAACUUCAAAAGUCUGAAAAAAAAAAAAAAAAAGAAGACAAAGACGCAAGAGAGGUAUCUGGGGUAGUGAGUUCUUCUUUAAGGCCUAGUAGAGGCUGCCGUACUAACUUUCCCGUAGUCCCACAUCGUUUCUUUGGGAUUGGGUAGUUAAGUCCCCAGGUUUGUCUCAAGAAUUACCGGUUUUUGAAGUUAAAUUUGGGAUUAAGUUUAAGCCUUUGGUAGGUAACAACUAACAAGGGUCCCAAACUUUUGUUUUAUGGCCAAAUUUGGUCUAAAAGUUGAUGUGAACCAUAUAGUACUCUUUUGUCCAAAAAAAAAAAAAAACACGAUAUAGUACUCUUUACAAGGUCACAAGACUUUGUUUGUGAUCCAUUGAACUUGCUGAAAAGGAUUGGCAAUUGAUUUUAUCCAUGCUCCAUGAAGAUAAGGGGAGAUGCACUAAAUCAGCGUGAUAACAUUUCCCGGAAAUCAAUUGGUCCUACAUUCAUGCAAUUGUCAAGUGGAACAAUGGUUACUAAAUUCAUUCAAUUAUUAUAGACCAAGUGUACAACAUUUAUCAGAACCAUGUUUGGUUCUUUAUCAGAAUUAAAAUUGUAUGUAUGAAAAUUGCAAUCUUGCUUGAUACAAAUGUAAGCAAAGACAACCUUAACAAAGUAAUGACCUUUUAUUCAUUUGAAAAAAAAAAAAAAACUUGGUAGUAGUUAUAAAACCGUGGACAGCAUCUGUGUGUAACUCCAUGAAGCUCAAUUUCCAGACAGAAUUGGUGUUGUUUGCAGUAAUUUUUGGUUGCCAUUUUUUUAUGGUUCGGUUGAUAUUAAUCCCUCUGUUGUAUGGAGAAAAUCUGUACCCAUUAGCAAAAAUGAAAUUUAAAAAUAUAAAAUAAAAAUUAAUGCCAUAAUUCUUGAUUGCCAAUUAUAUAUGAAGGCAAGAAUUGAAGAGAUGUCACAAAACAUGUUAAACUGAAUUCCAUAACUACCCCUACAUUCACAACUAUCAUCCUCCCAAACAAACCUUCCUUCGUAGUUGUAACUUUAUAUCACAGACACUGAUCUAGUAUGCCUUCAGAAGAACAUAAAACUUGCGAUAGCCAAAAUAUUUCCAGCUCGUAAACUCCACUUCGCAAUUCACAGUCAGAUUCGUCUUCUGGAUAAGCGGAUUACAAUUCAUAGUUAGAUUCAUCUUCUGGAUCAGCAGAGCUUCCAGCACUGCUUUCAUAUGCCUUCCUUAUGAUAGGAUUGAAUGCAGCUUCUAACUCUGCCAUCUUCUCAUCAUAGUCUAACUUCUCUGCAUUUUGGUUGUCAUCCAACCAUUCAAGUGCAUCCUUCAGGGCUGUCUCAAUGCUCUCUUUGUCAUCAGACUCAAUUUUGCCCGCGAGCUUCUCAUCAUACCUGAUGGAGCUCUUCAUGCUGUAAAUGUAGCUCUCGAGUUUGUUUCUAGAAUCAAUCUUCUCUCUCAGCUCCUUGUCGUCAUCUGCAAACUCUUCUGCCUCCUUUACCAUCCUAUCAAUUUCCUCAGGCGUUAGAUGCCCUUUCUCGUUCGUGAUGGUAAUUGAGUUCGACUUCUUUGCCGCCUUGUCCAUGGCAGUCACCUGUAAGAUACCAUUCGCGUCCACCCCAAAUGUGACCUCAAUUUGGGGCACGCCCCUGCAACCACAUGAUAAGCAUUGUUUAGGAAGUUCAUCUUAAAGGUUGAAGAAGAAUUAAUUGUUUGUUUGUCUUAGAGAUUGUGUUACCUAGGAGCAGGAGGAAUGCCAGACAAGUCGAAUUUUCCUAGCUCGUGACAAUCUUUUGUUAGGCUCCUUUCACCUUGAUAAACCUACAAGUUCCCAGCAAGAAAUUGGUUUUUGUACUAGUGCCAGUUAAAAGAGGAUUAAAGAUCUCUUCCCACUAACAAUGUAACAAAGUUAUCAGCAUUUGAUCAUACCUUGAUUGAAACUGUAGUUUGCUGGUCUUGAUAAGUUGUGAAGACCUGAGACUUCUUGAUUGGGAUGCCACUGUUUCUUGGAAUCAAUUUUCUCAUAACUCCACCAACGGUCUCGAGCCCCAGACUCAAGGGAGUUACAUCAAUGACAAGUACAUCUGCGGAAGACAGAAUGCAGAACCACAUGGACGUCACAUUUAAAGUCAUUCCCCAAAUUAAACCGAUCAAAGUUGAACAAAUUGCUAUAUGAAAAUCACAUACCCUUAGUUUCUUCGCCGCCAUGACCACCAAGGAUUGCACCUUGAACUGCUGCCCCAUGAGCUACGGCCUCAUCUGGAUUGAUCCCCCUGCUUGGUUCUUUUCCAUCAAAGAACUCCUUCAACAGCUGCUGCACCUUAGGAAUCCGAGUGCUCCCUCCAACCAACACAAUUUCAUCAAUGGCGCUCUUCUCCAAGCCUGCAUCCUUCAAGGCCUGCUUCACUGGUGCCAUGGUCUUUUUGAAUAGAUCCAUGUUCAAUUCUUCAAACCUUGCUCUCGUCAGUGGCUCAGAAAAGUCAGUUCCAUCAAACAGUGACUCGAUCUCAACGCGCACUUGGUGCUGGUUACUCAAGGCCCUCUUAGCUCUCUCACACUCCUUCCUGAGCUUCCCAAGAGCCUUCUUAUCAUUGCUGAUAUCUUUGUUGUAUUUCUUCUUAAUCAAUUUUACAAAAUGGUCCAUCACUCUCUGAUCAAAAUCUUCUCCUCCCAAGUGAGUGUUGCCAUUGGUGGAAAGAACCUCAAAAACACCUCCAUCAAGGGCCAAUAUACUAACAUCAAAAGUACCACCACCAAGAUCAAAAACUAGAAUAUUCCUCUCUUUUUGUUGCUUGUCAAGACCAUAAGCAAUUGCAGCUGCUGUCGGCUCAUUAAUAAUCCGAACAACGUUCAGCCCUGCAAUAGUGCCAGCAUCUUUGGUAGCUUGCCUUUGUGCAUCAUUGAAAUAAGCUGCAGAUGCAAAUACACAAUCAGAAAUCAGAUGCAAAAAACCAACCUCAACUAGUUAUUCUAAUUUAACAUCGAUGGUUUUGAUUAAAAGCAGGGCAAGAUUUUAACUAUCUUAAAUAGACAAUGUACCUGGAACAGUAACAACUGCAUUCUUAACUUCUUUUCCCAAAUAAGACUCAGCUGUUUGCUUCAUCCUUUGCAGCACCAUAGCACUGACUUCCUCUGGACUUAACAACUUCAUCUCACCGUUCUUCAUCUUGACAUCAAUAUAAGGUUUCCCAACUUUGUUGACAACCUUAUAAGGCAAGAGCUUCAUGUCUCUUUGAACCUCAGGAUCAUUGAACUUUCUUCCGAUAAACCUUUUAACAUCAAAGACGGUGGAUUCGGGGUUAAGGGCUGCCUGAUUCUUCGCAGCCUCUCCAAUCAAUCUCUCAGUAUCUGUGAAUGCUACCCAUGAUGGGGUGAUUCUGUUUCCUUGGUCGUUGGCUAUGAUCUCAACGUUACCGUUUCGAUACACCCCCACACAGGAGUACGUAGUCCCCAGGUCAAUGCCUAUCACUGUCCCAAGAUUUUGCUUCUGACUGUCCUCUGCAGCUAAUGUUACCCCUGCCAAGAAUUCUUCACAAUUUGUCAAAAAAAAAAAAGAAGAAAGUUAGAGACUUCCCUCGUAUAUUUGCCUAAUUCAAGUAAAACAAGUUGUAGAACUAUUCAAGCUGGAUUGUUCGAUAUUGACAAGUACUACAGAUAACAUUCUGAUGCAAAAUUCUAAUUCAAAAGUAUAAUUAAUCAUCUGAAAUUUUCCUAGUUAGCCAAGCAAUCAAACAGGUGAAAAUUCCUGUUCCAAAUUAGCAUAAAGUAAUUGGAAUAUUAAAGUUGUUACACCAUGCAUGCAAUCUUCUCUUCUUUCUAUGCACAAUUCAUAAAUUUAUUGGUGGUCUCCGGAAACAUUAUUGUUAACAUACAUGCAGAUGCAGGAAAACGAAAGUUCGGAAAAAUAUAAGAAGUCGUCCAAGAAAAUUGAGUAUAGAGUAUUAUAUUAACGAAUUGAUGAUGCUUAGAAACAAAUAAGUACUAUUUACAACUACGAAUGAGUACCUGAAACGAAGAGGAGAAGAAGCCAAAAAGCUUUAUUCUUCACGGAAGAAGAACUAGCCAUUGUUGUGCUGUGUAUAUAUCUUAGGAAUAGAGAGAUAUGAAUCAGGAAUAUUGAAACUUAUAUGUAUUGGUAUCUGAAGGCUUGGGGAUAUAUGGGACGAUGCCUAUGGGGGUGCUGGUGGGAUGUGUAUUUAUAGCUUUGCAUUGCGAGAAAAGGGUCAACAUAGUAUCCAAAUUCUGUCGACUGUCGAGUUCUUGAAUUGGUUGGGAACUUGGGAUGAUGCAAUGUUUCAAAAAGAACCAAUUUCAUUGGUUCAAACACUUUCCACAACGUCACUUUGUGUCAAAACUUAGGAGGGAGGGAUUGCAUUCCUUUUCUGAUCGCUACAACUCCGUCUAUUUUUAUUUUUCCUUUUUUUUUUAAUUUCAUUCUAUAUUUGUCUUCUUCGAGUGUGAUCGGAAUCAUCCUUUAUCCUCAAAAAAAGAAAAGAAAAUAAAAAGAUUGAAAAUUUGAGUUUUCAAUUUAACUUAAAAAUAAUUUCAACAAGAAAAAGGACUGAGACCUAAAAAAAAAGGGUGAAGGUAGAGGGAUAGUUUCCGAUUUAACUUCUUAAAUUGUGAGUUAAUAAACAAAAGGAAUAAUUGAAUAUUUUAACUUGGUUAAAUUGUUCGUAUCAUUGUUAAAUCCAUUUAACCUAACGAACCAUAUACGAUCUUACUUUUGAAAAAAUUAUUUUCAGUCUUAGUUUUAAAAAAUUUUCAAAAUAUGAAGUAAUAGUUCCACUAGAGUGCAUUUUUUACCCCUUUUUUUCCGAUGUUAAUUUCAGAUUAUUUACUAUUUCUCUAAAAUUCAAAUCCGAAAAGAAUACGAUUCUUUUCCCAUUUUCUGUGUAUUUUAUUUUAAAAUCAUAACUCAUUGACUAAAAUAACCUUCUUGGGCCCUCCAUUUUAUACCAAUCAAGAACUCGGCUCCGGGACUCUUGUAACUUGAUGAUAUCAUAGGGAAACGUGUCAUUUUGCUAUUGGAUAUAAGGCGUGCAGCUGAUUCGCGAGUGUACUGCAAAUUACCAAAACCCCUCGGUCUCCUCAUGACGGACGUUUGGCAAAUACCUUUAGCCACCCAAAGGUUUUCAGAAACUAUAAAUUAGCCCCUCCAAUUCUCUACCAGGGGUUGAAAAUUUUCAAUUGUCUUUGAUCCUUUAGCCAAUCUACGUUAUGAAACAUAUACAAAAAGAAGAAAUAUAAAAAGAAAACAACCUCGAAAAAGAAACAAAAAAAAACAUAUUUAGUUAACACAAGACCUAAGCAUUAUGGAUACUUCUUCUCUUUGUUUCAGGUAAUUCAUGUCAUAGGUUUUCUUUUUCUUGAAAAAAAUGAAGGACAUUUUUUUUUCUUUGUUAAAUUUAUUCUGGAUUAAAUAUAAUUCCAGUAGCUCAUACCCGUACUGAUUUUUUUUGCAUAUAAUUCCAUAUCCAAUUCCAAUUCUUGAGCAUGAACCAAGCGCCCUAAGUUUCUAUCAUCAUCCAGAAUGGGACAUCAGGCUCGGAUAAUCUGUAGUUACUUCUUCAUAGUGGUAUGCAUCCAUCCAUGAUCAAAAUAGUAGAUGGCCUUGCCACUCAGUUUAGUUUAUGAAAAAGGGUUUCUUCUAUUUAAUUUGUGCCCUCUGAUCAUAAAUUAAAGUAGCAAAGUGGAGGGUUAUUUAACAUAAAUGCUUUAAGCUUGAAAUUCAACCCCUAAAUUACACGAACUUUUUUCGAAAAAAAUUUUAUUAAGACGUUGAAUUGAUGGAUAACUUGACAAAUCUUCGUAUUUAAACGUGUAAUAAUUAAUCAUAACCUUAAGAAUUAUUAGUGUGGUCAAAACUGCUUCUGUCAAUUUGAGUUCUCCUUACAAAAACUACGGUAUGAACUGGUUAUGCAAGUGAUAUGUGGAAAGCUUUUCAGAGUAUGGAGCUUAAUUUUGGCUUUCAAUUUGGUCAUAAAAUUCGUAUUUGGUUGGGUUUGUGACGAUCUCAACAAGCAAGCAUCAUUAAAUCUGUCAAGGAAUUCAAGAUUUGCGUUAUGAUGAAGUACUAAAAGUUAUCUAAAUAAUACUUACUAUGUUUUUUUUUUUGCUUCCUUUUUCUUAAUUCAAUGUCAAAAGGGACACAAGAUUUGUGUUGAUUGUCCUUGGCUGGCAAAUAUCCCUCUUAAGUUUUCUUUUCAUAAGCCCAGAAAUCAACUACACAUAAAUCCAUGUCAUCAAAGACUGACCUGUCCCAUUUCCAUAGGCCCGACAACGUGGAACCGAAUUACAGCCGCAAUCACCACACUCAAACGACUCCCAAGUGUCAUCAAAAUAUUGGCCAGAUUUGAUACAGUAACUAUACGAUAUUGGUAGGUCCCUCCCUCUAGCUUCCGCCCCCAAAACCUUACAUAGUCUAUUCAGAAUCAAACUUGCCCAAUAAUCUUUGAUCUCUUGGCUAAACUAAUUGACUACACAAAUAUAUGCACGAGGGGUCAAAUCUUGCAACCAAGAUAUAAUGAGGUACACCGAGAAUAUAAUAUAGCAGUUUGGAUUCUUGUUCUUUUAGUUUUAGGUAAUUGAUCAUGUCACAUUUAUACUGUAUAAAAACAGUUGUUUUGGGUUUCAAAAAGAUUUGUUUUGGAAGGAGAUUCACAAAAAGUCGCCAAAAUGCUGGAUCGUUUGGAAUCUGACGAUUCAUCACAUGGUUUGUUGAUUGAUGAUAUCAUUAUCUUAUGUUAAGAUUUCAUGUGCUGCAGAAGUUGCAUGGAUUUCUAUGUCGUUUAAUGUGCCUGUUCAUAACCUUGCUAAGUAUGCUGUUAACCUUUUAGAUU